UACGUAGGGUGCAAGCGUUAAUCGGAAUUACUGGGCGUAAAGCGUGCGCAGGCGGUUCGCUAAGACAGAUGUGAAAUCCCCGGGCUUAACCUGGGAACUGCAUUUGUGACUGGCGGGCUAGAGUAUGGCAGAGGGGGGUAGAAUUCCACGUGUAGCAGUGAAAUGCGUAGAGAUGUGGAGGAAUACCGAUGGCGAAGGCAGCCCCCUGGGUCAAGAUUGACGCUCAUGCACGAAAGCGUGGGGAGCAAACAGG
rnacentral:rRNA from 1 species